rnacentral:rRNA from 1 species
CCUACGGGUGGCAGCAGUGAGGAAUAUUGGUCAAUGGGCGGAAGCCUGAACCAGCCAAGCCGCGUGAGGGACGAAGGUACCGCGCAUCGUAAACGUCUUUUGUCAAGGAACAAACACGGUCUCUAGCCCCUUGAUGAGGGUACUUGAAGUAAACGCAUCGGCUAACUCCGUGCCAGCAGCCGGGGUAAUACGGGGGAUACGAGCUUUAUCCGGUUUUAUUGGGUUAAAAGGGUGCGUAGGCGGACUGUUAAGUCAGCGGUAAAAGCCCGGGGCUCAACGCCGGCCAGCCGUUGAAACUGGCGGGCUUGAGUUGGGGAGAGGUGAGCGGAAUGCGCGGUGUAGCGGUGGAAUGCGUAGAUAUCGGGAAGAACCCCGAUGGCGAAGGCAGGACACUGGCUCCUCACUGACGCUGAGGAACGAAAGCGUGGGUAUCGAACAGGAUUAGAUACCCCUGUAGUC